rnacentral:tRNA from 1 species
AAUAAAAUACCUUAAAUUUAAAGGAAUACUUUGAUAAAGUAUUAAUGAGUAAAAAUCUUUUAUUU